rnacentral:lncRNA from 1 species
UUUCAAGGGAGACAUAUAGCCUCUUGCACUAGUCUCAUGUAGUUCUGCAGCUUUCUUCCCAGAGCUGCCAAAAUGCUCUCCAGGAGUCAUAAAUUCAUCAUCCUCUUCGAGAGACUCCCUCCUCGACAACUCAUCUGCGUCCAUCCUUUCACUACGGAUAUCCAAUCUAGGCCAUGGUGCCGACAACUUACCUGCAUUAUCAGCAAUCACUUUUCCACGUACCUUUUUCCUAAGCAAUGUACCACCUCGAAUAACUUUCACAGACUCACAAGUACACCCCUCAUCGUCAAUAGUUAUAA